AUUGAACGCUGGCGGCAUGCUUUACACAUGCAAGUCGAACGGCAGCGCGGGCUUCGGCCUGCCGGCAAGUGGCGAACGGGUGAGUAAUCCACCGGAACGUGCCCAGUAGUGGGGGAUAGCACGGCGAAGGCCGGAUUAAUCCCGCAUAGGACCGGAGGGUAAAAGGGGGGGUUCUUCGGACCUCGGCCUUUUGGACGGGCCGAUGGCAGAUUAGCUAGUUGGUGGGGUAAAGGCCUACCAAGGCGACGAUCUGUAGCUGGUCUGAGAGGACGACCAGCCACACUGGGACUGAGACACGGCCCAGACUCCUACGGGAGGCAGCAGUGGGGAAUUUUGGACAAUGGGCGAAAGCCUGAUCCAGCAAUGCCGCGUGUGUGAUGAAGGCCUUCGGGUUGUAAAGCACUUUUGGCGGGAACGAAAAGGACUGUGCCAAUACCACGGUUCGAUGACGGUACCCGCAGAAUAAGCACCGGCUAACUACGUG
rnacentral:rRNA from 1 species